CCUACGGGUGGCAGCAGUGAGGAAUAUUGGUCAAUGGGCGCGAGCCUGAACCAGCCAAGUCGCGUGAGGGAAGACGGUCCUAUGGAUUGUAAACCUCUUUUGUCGGGGAGCAAAAGACGCCACGCGUGGCGUUCCGAGAGUACCCGAAGAAAAAGCAUCGGCUAACUCCGUGCCAGCAGCCGGGGUAAUACGGAGGAUGCGAGCGUUAUCCGGAUUUAUUGGGUUUAAAGGGUGCGCAGGCGGAAGAUCAAGUCAGCGGUAAAAUUGAGAGGCUCAACCUCUUCGAGCCGUUGAAACUGGUUGUCUUGAGUGAGUGAGAAGGAUGCGGAAUGCGGGGGGUAGCGGUGAAAUGCAUAGAGAUCACGCAGAAAUCCGAUUGCGAAGGCAGCAUACCGGCGCUCAACUGACGCUCAUGCACGAAAGUGUGGGUAUCGAACAGGAUUAGAUACCCCUGUAGUC
rnacentral:rRNA from 1 species